rnacentral:rRNA from 1 species
UGUGACCUUACCACCUUGUCAAUGCCUUGAUCUCAUCUGAUCUCGGAAGCUAAGCAGGGUUAGGCUAGUUAGGACUUGGAUGGGAGACUGCUGAGAGUACAAGGUGCCAAAAUAG